CCUACGGGAGGCAGCAGUGGGGAAUAUUGGACAAUGGGGGCAACCCUGAUCCAGCAAUGCCGCGUGAGUGAUGAAGGCCUUAGGGUUGUAAAGCUCUUUCGGCGGGGACGAUGAUGACGGUACCCGCAGAAGAAGCCCCGGCUAACUUCGUGCCAGCAGCCGCGGUAAUACGAAGGGGGCAAGCGUUGUUCGGAAUCACUGGGCGUAAAGGGCGCGCAGGCGGCCAAUCAAGUCAGGCGUGAAAGCCCCGGGCUCAACCUGGGAAUUGCGCUUGAGACUGAUCGGCUUGAGGACGGGAGAGGAGAGUGGAAUUCCCAGUGUAGAGGUGAAAUUCGUAGAUAUUGGGAAGAACACCAAUGGCGAAGGCAGCUCUCUGGACCGUACCUGACGCUGAGGCGCGAAAGCGUGGGGAGCAAACAGGAUUAGAUACCCUUGUAGUC
rnacentral:rRNA from 1 species